GUGGUACGGAGCCGUGUGGGAGCAGUUCUUGAAGAGCUGCUGCCUGUGGGCAGCCCCCGCAGGAUCAGUUUGGGAAGAACAGUAGGCAGGGCUCUGUAUUAACUGGCAAUAACUGAAAUCAUCCCAAGUCAAGCUUUUUGCCCCUGAUGGUAACAUGAGUGAUCUCUCUGUCCUUGUCUCAGUCCAUGAAUAUUAUAUAUAUGUAUCAUCAUAUUUUCUCCUAAUCUUGGUGAGGAGGGGAAGUGAGAGAGCGGCCUGGUAGGCACCUGGCAAUUAGCCAAGGUUCACCCACCACAUUCAUUAAUAACUGCCAAAUACUUGAAAAUCCAUUUUGGUCCCCCUGCUCCUAGCACCCAUAUACCAUUACUAGUGGCUGUGUUUCUGGGCAUUCUUGCACUACAGUCGGGUGUGGCACAACAGCAGCAGGUCAGCUCCUAAACCCACCAGUCAACAGCACGACCAUGUGGCUGUACUGUUUUUGGACUAGGUAGUCAGUAUCAUCAUGGGCAGCUGUGAACACUGCCACAUGUGAAAAUGGAGUAGGACUCAAAAGGUGGAAGGAGUUUCAUAAGAGGAGACCAAGCUGAAAAAAUACUUAUGCAUGGCUGGGAAGGAACCAAGACACAGGAGCCUGACAAACUCACAAAACAAAAGGCCACCAUCAAGUCGUGUGCAUGGUGUUUGCUGGAGUGAACGUAAGCCUGCCAUUGAACACAGGGUGAUAAAUUUCAAGGCUUUACUUCUUCAUACUUCUGUUUACUCUUGUGAUGAGGUGGAUAUUUUAUCAGCAUUGUGCAGUGCUGAAAGGCUCCCAGGGUAUGAGAAUUAAUUUGGCUGCUGUACUAAAGACGUAAAUUACACAGGAAGUAGUGAACUUUUAAAACAACUAUUGAACAUCCAGGAUCUGCACUGUUAAUGAUUUUCCAACCCACUCCUGUUCAUUCUCAACAAUAAUAAAUAAUAAUUUUUAAAGGAAGUAUUUUAGUUG
ensembl:lncRNA